GCCAGGAGCGCUCGCCCUCGUCGAGGUCUCUGCAGCGCUGCCAGAGGCCUGGAGAUUGGAGCUGGGGCCCGGGGACACGUGGGAAUUUGCCGGUGCAGAAAGGGACUCGCACGCUCCCCAGCGCGGGCAGCCCUGGGGGCGGAGCAGGGACGGCGGCGGGUGGCGGUGCCGGGGAUGGGCACGGGUUGGCGGGCCUGGGUCACGGCGGUUAGCCGGCAGUCCUCGUGAGAUCGCCAGCGUCCGGAGCCUGCACGACGGUGGAAGGAGGCAUGUCCAGAUCGUCCACCUGCCGAAAACUAGCUGUGCUGUACUCUGUAUCUCGCUUCUCUCACAGCGUCAAACGUGGCCGUUCCCUGUGUGGUGAAGGCGCACCCGUAACUCAAUGCUAGGGUUAACACUCCAAAGCACCUGAGCUGAGCGGUCGCCUACUUGACCCUGACAUGCAGUCACCGAGCGAGGCCUUCCUUGGUCAGGGCACACCCCCGCAAAGACAGCUCUGUGUCUUCCUCUAAGGCUUUCUUUCAGGGAAGUUCCCAAUGGCCCGGUGACUUCCACGACCUGGAUCUGCGGGUCCCACGUCGUCCUCACGUCCAAACUGAUUCCAACCAGUUCCCCGUUUACAGAUCUCAUCAGCCUGCAUGUUCCAAACCGCAAGUUCAAAUCAGCCCUGCUAACCGCCGCACCAUAGGCAUUAACUUGAGCCAGCUCUACAGGGCCUCCCGCUCCAGCCACGUUGCAGCCACAACUUUUUAUAACACAGAUCGCAACUUGUGACUCACCUGCUUUGGAGUCCUAGGGUGACAGAUGACCCCUUUUAGAGAAUAAUUUGCCAAAAACAUUCCUUUUUGGAGAACUACUUAUAAAAAAAAAUGAGUCAUACCCAUAGAGACCCUGUAAUUCCAUUUCUGGCAAUCAAAUGUAAGCUCACUGCACAACAGUGCUCAUCCAGGCAUUUAUUCACUUUAUGAGGAAUUUGCAGUAUCAAUGGCAGUUAACUCAUACUGAGUGCUUGGAACAUGCCAGGCACUUGCUAAACAUGUACCAUCUCGUUUAACUUUCUACACAAACCUGUGGGACAGGAGGCUGGGAAUGAUUAGUGCCUUGCCUGAGCUGUAUCCCACCUCCCUGUGACAGCCACACCCAUACAUUUCAUUACUACAGGUAAUGGGCCCUUGUGAUGAGUCCUGCCCCUGGAUUAAUGCUGUGCAGUCACCAGCCUAAAAUUCUUAAUAAUUACUGAACAAGAGCUCCUACAUUUUCAUGUUGCAAAUUAUGUAGCAAGUGCUGUCAUCACAACAAACCAGAUGGUUAUGCUGAGGCCCAAAGACCUCCGAGUCAUAGAACUGGGACUCAGACCUGUCUUCCAACCACCCUGGGCAGGCACAGAAGUGCAAUGCUCGAGUGGAAUGGUUGCUUUCGAAUCAUACUGUGCUUCUUGGAAAUGCCAGUUGGCAUUUGAAACUCCUUGGUUGGAGUGUCUCAGUGGAGACCACUUCUGGCCUUUCAGGGCAUGCUCGGUCUUAGUGCUCAUUCAGCACCCCAAUCAAGAGGGACGUGUGUUCUCAGGCCAGGGGACAGCCUGUGCUGGGGAGAAGCCCAGUGGGCCGGGGGUGUCAGAGACUCAGCUGGUGCUGCCAGCUUCUCCUGCCCCCUGUGCUUCCCACGGCCUCUCCAGACCUUCCACCCAGGGGCUCAUUCAUUCAUGUGGCAUCGCAGACGAUGUGACCCCCGCACAAGAGUCGGGAGGCACACUGCACAUCUGAAUGUGUCCUCUGGCACCUCCCAUGACCUUACUUCCCCAAGUCCACCGUGGCCCUGACAACCGUACUGCUGCUUCCUGAGCGCUGAGCACGCAUGCAUCAGGCAUUUAGACACACUGGAUGCCGAGCACUCCCCCGUGGUGGAGUUGGGGUACGUGUUUGAAAACCAACCCCGUGGGGUGAAACGUGGCCCUCAGUUUCAUGCUUGCUGGCUUCUGUGGUGCAAACACUCCCCGUGGCUAACUAUAUUUGGGGUGCUGGGGGAUGACCGGAGAGGUGGGGGUUACUAGCAUGGUCCACAUGCCCAGAGACACAAGGUGGGCUCAUGAGAGAGGUCUGUUUCAGGCCGAAACAUGGAAGGAGGAAUGCAGUCAGCCAGGUUCGUGCAUGAAGCUCAUACUCUGGAGUUCACCCUCCCCUCGGAAGACGGGCUCAGAUGUCCUUAUCUCCCCCUCAGAGCCCAGGGAUGUGCUGCACGUCCCAUGGUACAGAGGGUGUCAGAAGAGGUAGAGGCAUGCAGCAUGCCCGCCCUGCUCUUCACUGAGCACUCUUCUCUCUCCCUGUGACUCUGGACAGAUAGCAUUGGACUGCAAUGCUCCAAGUUUCCACUUCCUUCUUGGUGAGUGGGGCCUAGGACCAGGCCACAGAGAUGCAUGGUGUGUGGCCAAAGACAGUGGCUUUCAGCAGAGCAGGGAACUAGGCCCUGGAGCAGCCGUAUCUGGCACUGCUCAGCCAGUCCGUGGGCAGAGCAAAUUUCUGUGACGCCUGGAACAUCAAGCAGAACAGUUCAGAUGGGUAUUGAAGGGAAGACUUGCUCUAUUCGUGGAGGGCUCCCCGGACCCAGGCCCACCUGGCAGUCUCAUGGCUGCAGCUGACCCAGGGCACUUACCCUUCAGUUGCCUGCCCUGGGACCUCAGCCCCACUGGCCCUCUGCUGCCAGAGGAGGUCACACCUACAAGGCCAGCAGAGAGAAGUGUGUGUCGUAUCUGGUUGCCCCUGGGGCCCCAUCCCAAGGUGCCGCUUCUUGAUGAAGCAGGUUCUCACAGCGUGUGCAUGCCCUCAGACCCCCGUCCCUCUCGUGAACAUAUCCUCCUACUCUGACGACGGAGAAGGUGGUAGAAGCAGCUCGCCCUCCUGGGCAACUCACCAGCUGCUGCAACUGAACCCUAAAAUAGUAGUGCCUGUGAGCCCACCAGCAUCAAUGGUCAACCAGGAAUGAACUCAGGAGAAUGAUGGCAAGACAACUCCGGACUAAAGUCUGAGCCCCAAGUGUUCGACAAGAAGCAGCACCAUCUCUUCUGCAUUCGGUGUGUUCUCCACUCUCACAAGAAGGAAGUGAACAGUUCGGGAAGCUUUCAGAACAGCAAACUUUCAACAUGUUCUUCAUGAGUGACAUGAUCCCUGCUGAGUGACUGGCCUUCACUCUUCCGUUUCUGAUGCAACAGGUUCUCAGGGUUGCCCUUCGAGCUCUGAGGUUUGAGAUCAGGUUCCCUGGGAGAAGGGCAAGAGAGGAGUUAUUCUCCUUGAACCCUCACAGAUGGAGGAAAAUUGAGGGUCUCUAAAUGGUCUUCUCUAAGUGGGUUCCAAGGCUGGUCCACUCCCAGAACAGCCAUGGACGUCGUGCUGGAUGAGCAAGGGCAGGGGGCAGAGAAGGAAAGGUCUGCAGAGUUUGGAAGGAAGCCUCCAGACCUUGGACCUGGGGAUCACAGGAGGUUGCUUUCCUCCAGAAACUCUCAAAUUAUAGCACAAGUUCACUGCUGACGCUUUCCAGAGAGUUUCCUGAGGUUCACAUCACUUCUUAGCAAAACUGGCAGCAGUGUGAGCCUUGGUCUGAUCCCUUUGUGGGGUCCCCAUGGAGGACCCUCUGUUACCAGAAGGCUAUCAUUAGGAUUCCACGGGCCCCAUUCUCUUCCUCACCAUGGUGAGGAUUGGCUUUUACAUUUUUGUGUUUUGUUUUGUUUUGUUUUGUUUUGCUAUCCCUUUGGUCUUCACUUAAGCAAGAAGAUAAAUCUUACCAGAUGGGAAGAAUGCCAUCAUCACCAUAGUCCCUGGGAAGUUUAUGCGUUUGGCUUUGCCACUUCAGACAGUGGUCACCUCAUACCUUGCAGCCAAGCAUCACAAAGCACAGUAUGGUGGGGCAUUUUCACAUUUUAGAGACAAAUCCCUCAGAGAGGGAAUAUCUAGGCCCAGGUUGGCGUUGAGACUGCGGGUGCCAUGCUGAGCCUUUCAAGCACUACAGCUUAUGACCCGGGGGGCUGGUGACCUUUCUGAGUCCAUUGAAAAUGUCCCCCAGCCUGUACGCUGUGCUGAAGAGACGGAGCGGAGAGAAUGCAGCCAGCCCUUCAGAGGCCACGCUGUGCAUUAUCACCUUGGAAGCCUGAACUCCUCCACGUACCCACCAGACCCCUGGGAUGGGUCCCUGCGGUGCUGCUCCUCAGGCCUGACUCUGCACACCCCCAGACUCUCUCCCCCAGGGAACUCGCCUGCAUGUCAUGCCUUCCAGGCCUCAGGUCAGCCCCAAGAACAGGUUUCUAAGGUCAAAGCCUUAUUUUAAAAUUCACUGUGCUGCCUGCAGCUCCUGUGUCACCCAUGCUCAGACACGUGUUUCCAAGGCAAGUCCUAGGUUAGCAACUGGACAGCAGAUCCAAAAACCCACCUGGGGGUAUGAUGUGUGUGCUCAGUCAGAUAACUAUUGACCCCGACCACAGGUAUCUGGGUUUGCUGGAUGGUGCUGAGAUCUGGUCCUUUGUCAGGCUCUGGGAAGACCCGGGAGUUCCAAGAAUGUGGCACAGGGUCAAAAUAUCCUGACAAGGGAUCAAAAUGCUGGGAUGCACAUGUCCAGCAGUCUUAGCAGCUCACAGCUGAGCAUGAUGUCAAUGCCAUGGAUUCCACACCACCUCACUGCAAAUGCCCGAGGAUGGGCAGGCUUCUGUCUUUGCAAGUCAAGACUGAGUCUCUUCGGGGGCCAGAAAACAGCAAGGGGCACCUGGGGGGGGGGGCUCAGUGGGUGAGGCGUCUGCCUUCGG